GAGAAAGAAAAUAUAUACAAGGGUAAAAGGAUAAACAAUUAAAUUUACCUGGCAAAGUCGCAUCUUUGAUCAAAAUAGUGUUCUCAUAAUAGAAAACCAAGAUGUAUAAACUAAACAGAUCUUGUAGAAUCAGGAGGCGCAUCGGAAUUUUAAUUUCAAUAUACCUAAUUUCUAAUUAGGUAAAAUCAGUGUUACACAAUGAUUUUCAUCAUAAAUAAAAAAAAUAAAACAAAAAUUAA